UACGUAGGGGGCUAGCGUUGUCCGGAAUCAUUGGGCGUAAAGCGCGUGUAGGCGGUCCGGUAAGUCCGCUGUGAAAGUCGAGGGCUCAACCCUGGGAUGCCGGUGGAUACUGUCGGGCUCGAGUCCGGAAGAGGAGUGUGGAAUUCCUGGUGUAGCGGUGAAAUGCGCAGAUAUCAGGAGGAACACCAAUGGCGAAGGCAGCACUCUGGGACGUGACUGACGCUGAGACGCGAAAGCGUGGGGAGCAAACAGG
rnacentral:rRNA from 1 species